CAAGCCAGGUGUAACUUAUUCAGGUGAGUGCGCGUCCACGGCUUUCUUAAAAAGACCCCGAGAUCGAUCACAGAUUCACCGAUGCAGCAAUGGAGAGGGCACGUGCCGCAUACUUCUCACCCAGUGAGCAGCGUCUUAUCAUGGACACUUAUGAAGAGGUAAAACAUAUAAUCACGAAGAAAGGAAACACUGCAGCGAUAAUAAAGCAGAGAGAGAGCGCGUGGCAAACAAUUGCGGACUGACUGAAAGCGUGAGCAGUGGAAGUUAGGCAACUGCUGAUUUCACACCAGCAGAGUUCGCCCUGGAUCAGAACCGAGGCAGGCCGAUGAUGGAGGAGGGAGGGGGGGAAACCGCCCUCUUCAUACAAGCUCCAAUCAGACAGUGACUAAUCACAUUAUUUGUCAUACUUUUUUUUUAGCACAUUUUUAGUUAAAAUAGUUGCCUUUUUUGCCUUUAAUGGAGAGGACAG